AACGAACGCUGGCGGCAGGCCUAACACAUGCAAGUCGAACGCUCGUAGCAAUACAGGAGUGGCGCACGGGUGAGUAACGCGUGGGAACGUGCCCUUUAGUUUGGGAUAACAGCUGGAAACGGCUGCUAAUACCAAAUACGCCCUUCGGGGGAAAGAUUUAUCGCUAAAGGAUCGGCCCGCGUAAGAUUAGGUAGUUGGUGGGGUAAUGGCCUACCAAGCCUACGAUCUUUAGCUGGUCUGAGAGGAUGAUCAGCCACACUGGAACUGAGACACGGUCCAGACUCCUACGGGAGGCAGCAGUGGGGAAUAUUGGACAAUGGGGGAAACCCUGAUCCAGCCAUGCCGCGUGAACGAUGAAGGCCUUAGGGUUGUAAAGUUCCUUUGUCAGGGAAGAUGAUGACGGUACCUGACGAAUAAGCACCGGCUAACUUCGUGCCAGCCGCCGCGGUAA
rnacentral:rRNA from 1 species